rnacentral:rRNA from 1 species
GUAGUUAGCCGGGGCUUCCUCACAGAUUACCGUCACUUCCUUCGUCAUCUGCGACAGAGGUUUACGAUCCGAAAACCUUCUUCCUUCACGCGGCGUUGCUGGGUCAGGGUUUCCCCCAUUGCCCAAUAUUCCCCACUGCUGCCUCCCGUAGGAGUUUGGACCGUCUCUCAGUUCCAAUGUGGCCGAUCACCCUCUCAGGUCGGCUACUGAUCGUCGCCUUGGUGAGCCGUUACCUCACCAACUAGCUAAUCAGACGCGAGCCCACCCUUCAGCGGAUUGCUCCUUUGACCCCUAAGCCAUGUGACUCUGUGGUCUUAUGCGGUAUUAGUGAGCCUUUCGGCUCGUUAUCCCCCUCUGAAGGACAGGUUGCUCACGCGUUACUCACCCGUCCGCCGCUAGAAUACACUUCGUAUUGCUACUCAACGUAUCCCCGCUCGACUUGCAUGUGUUAGGCACGCCGCCAGCGUUCGUCCUGAGCCAGGAUCAAACUCUGA